CCUAAAACUAAAACUCUCAUUUACCUGAAAAAAACUCGGGAAGAAAAAUCUCAGAUCUGGUUCUCAAAGAUGGUUUUUUCAGGAAUUUCAUCAGCACUCCUAAGAAGAAACCCAUUUAAGUCAAAAUCCAUAUCUUCUUUUUCUUCAAUAAGCUCGAUUUCAUCAUCCCUUUCAAACAACUUUAACCUAACUACGAUCUCAAAAUUCCAGCCCCAAAUCUUUUCAAACCCUAGAAGUACCGACUUCUUCCAAAUCAGACAAUAUAGUGGCGAAACCCCAAGCCUAAUCGCCCAAGGAAAAAAGAAGCAAAGAAAAAGUCCUGAUCCGAAAAAAAUAAAAUUGGCUCAAUAUAAUCGCAAACUCGAUUUAGCCUUUAAAGCUUUGGAGAGAGUUGAAUAUUCGAAAGGGAGAGUGAUAUUUUGACCGGAGUAUAAGCGGGAUGCCGAGCUUGCUAAUAAUGCUAUAAACCUUGCGUUGAAGAAAUAUGAUGAGGUACUGUCAAUAUUGGGCGAGGACGAAAGAAAGGAUUUUGAAUGAGCAGACAGGCUUAAUUUUCCCCAACGAGAUACUAAUUUUAGGUGAAAUUAUGACUUUCUAAAGUUUAAGCCAAAAUAAAUUCUGAAUGAGCAGCCAGGCUUAAUUUCCAACUCUAAUCCUAAUUUAUGUUUACUGAUAUGACAAUUUUUACUGAGGAAGGAAAAAUAUUUGGGAAACAACUGCUGGUUCGAACCAAGUAGGUAUUAAUAGGAGUAUCUCAGCUCUUGGUGUGUUUGAAUCAGUUAGCUGCGAAACGGCAUAGCAUCACUAGUAGGUUUAUUUUGGAACUGGUGGAUAUUGAAGAGUGGGGAUCCAUCCGUGAUUCCGUACUUUGAUCUAUUCUCCAUCUACAAUAGUUACACCUUGCAGCAGUCCCUUCGAAAUACGUGAGCCCGAAGUUCCGUCGGGGUUCUUAAGAUAUGGAACACGGCCACUUUUGGAGAGGGGGAUCAGGAGGGAAGUGGAGGCACUGGAGAGGAGGAUUAGGAAAACCAUCAUGGUUUUUGUUUCUCUGAGUGAAGAAGCUACGCUGCAUGACCAACAAACUACACAAACUUUUCUUGGCCCGCCUGAUGCAUAUUUAUCAAUCCUGAGUGUACCAAGCACUUUUACAAUUCAAAGAUGCGGAUCUCCAGUUUUACAUGCAACUGUGAAGCAAGUUGCAUAUAAAAUAGGCCUCGAAGAGGAGGAAAGGCAUCAAAGAGGUCUCGAAGUCGCAAGGGAAAAAAUACAGGUCACAAGUCUGGCCAGUUCCAAAUGCCAACAAUACAGGUCACAAGGGAUUUAGUAUUGGAGGAGGGUUUCCAAGUGGCAAGGGCAAAAAUAGAGGUUCUAAGGGUAAGAGUGGUGGAGGAGGGUCUCCUAGUAAGAGUAGAGGUAGUGGGGGUAAGACCAAGAAGCCUUGAAGACUUUCUUCUUGCUUAUCUCGAAAUUUAUCUAGGUUUGAAAAAUUGGCGUCUUGUCUACUGAAAUUAUAUUGUCCUGCAUUCUUCUUGCUGAGACAACAUUUCGAGAUAAGAACUUCUUUCUAUGUGGCUUUCUUCUUUGUUGUGCACUUUCAGUUCCAUGACUCGGUCUGUAUGGGUUUUCUCAUCCAUUUUUUUAGUAGGGCCGAGCAAAGAGGGAGGGAGGAUUUUUCAUACGGUCAUUUUUUUGUCACAUGUAAGUGAUCAAUUGACACAAAAUGAUUGGAAGUGGUCCGGACAUAAAAAUCAAAAAUGCCCCUUUGAAUCAAAUUUUUCUUUUUUUUUCCUUUAGAUGUUUUCCUAAAUAAACAAAAGAGGAAGGGAAAAUAGAUGUAAGAGUCAAAUUGUUUAUAAUUCCUUAUGUAUCAUAUUUUUUAAGGGUAUACUUGGCAACCAAUUUUAAUAUAACAUAUC